UACGUAGGGGGCUAGCGUUAUCCGGAAUUACUGGGCGUAAAGGGUGCGUAGGUGGUUUCUUAAGUCAGAGGUGAAAGGCUACGGCUCAACCGUAGUAAGCCUUUGAAACUGGGGAACUUGAGUGCAGGAGAGGAGAGUGGAAUUCCUAGUGUAGCGGUGAAAUGCGUAGAUAUUAGGGGGAACACCAGUUGCGAAGGCGGCUCUCUGGACUGUAACUAACACUGAGGCACGAAAGCGUGGGGAGCAAACAGG
rnacentral:rRNA from 1 species